AGUGAACGCUGGCGGUAGGCCUAACACAUGCAAGUCGAACGGCAGCACAGUAAGAGCUUGCUCUUACGGGUGGCGAGUGGCGGACGGGUGAGGAAUACAUCGGAAUCUACUUUUUCGUGGGGGAUAACGUAGGGAAACUUACGCUAAUACCGCAUACGACCUACGGGUGAAAGCAGGGGAUCUUCGGACCUUGCGCGAUUGAAUGAGCCGAUGUCGGAUUAGCUAGUUGGCGGGGUAAAGGCCCACCAAGGCGACGAUCCGUAGCUGGUCUGAGAGGAUGAACAGCCACACUGGAACUGAGACCCGGUCCAGACUCCUAAGGGAGGCAGCCGUGGGGAAUAUUGGACAAUGGGCGCAAGCCUGAUCCAGCCAUACCGCGUGGGUGAAGAAGGCCUUCGGGUUGUAAAACCCUUUUGUUGGGAAAGAAAAGCAGCAGGUUAAUACCCCGCUGUUCUGACGGUACCCAAAGAAUAAGCACCGGCUAACUUCGUG
rnacentral:rRNA from 1 species